ACAGCGAACUGAGUUUGAGCGAA
rnacentral:snRNA from 1 species